rnacentral:tRNA from 1 species
GGUUAUAUAUAUAAAUAUAUAUUAUAAUUUAUAAAUUAAUUUAUUAUUUGAUAAAUAAAAAUUUGUUGUUUUGGAAUUUUUUGAAUUUUAAUAAAAUUAAAAAAAGUAAUAAUGAAAAAUAUAAUGUUAAUUAUAUAUAUAAACCAUAUAUUUAUUUAUUAAUUAAUUUUUAUUUUAAAUUAUAAGAAUUAUAAUAUAAUAUUGAUAUAAUUUAAAAUUA